rnacentral:rRNA from 1 species
UACAGAGACUGCAAGCGUUAUUCGGAUUCACUGGGCGUAAAGGGUGCGCAGGCGGCCAGGUGUGUCAGGUGUGAAAGCCCGGAGCUUAACUCCGGAAUUGCGCCUGAAACUACUUGGCUAGAGCAUUGGAGAGGGUAGCGGAAUUCACGGUGUAGCAGUGAAAUGCGUAGAUAUCGUGAGGAACACCAGUGGCGAAGGCGGCUACCUGGACCAGCACUGACACUGAGGCACGAAAGCGUGGGGAGCAAACAGG